GGAAUAUUGCACAAUGGGCGCAAGCCUGAUGCAGCGACGCCGCGUGGGCGAAGAAGGCCUUCGGGUUGUAAAGUACUUUCAGCGGGGAGGCAGGGUGUUGUGUUAAUAGCACAGCAUUUUGACGUUACCCGCAGAAGAAGCACCGGCUAACUCCGUGCCCGCAGCCGCGGUAAUACGGAGGGUGCAAGCGUUAAUCGGAAUUACUGGGCGGAAAGCGCACGUAGGCGGUAUGUUAAGUUGGAUGUGAAAGCCCCGGGCUCAACCUGGGAAUUGCAUUCAAAACUGGCAUGCUAGAGUAUGUGAGAGGGGGGUAGAAUUCCAAGUGUAGCGGUGAAAUGCGUAGAGAUUUGGAGGAAUACCAGUGGCGAAGGCGGCCCCCUGGCACAAUACUGACGCUCAGGUGCGAAAGCGUGGGGAGCAAAC
rnacentral:rRNA from 1 species